GACGAACGCUGGCGGCGUGCCUAAUACAUGCAAGUUGAGCGCUGAAGGUUGGUACUUGUACCAACUGGAUGAGCAGCGAACGGGUGAGUAACGCGUGGGGAAUCUGCCUUUGAGCGGGGGACAACAUUUGGAAACGAAUGCUAAUACCGCAUAAAAACUUUAAACACAAGUUUUAAGUUUGAAAGAUGCAAUUGCAUCACUCAAAGAUGAUCCCGCGUUGUAUUAGCUAGUUGGUGAGGUAAAGGCUCACCAAGGCGAUGAUACAUAGCCGACCUGAGAGGGUGAUCGGCCACAUUGGGACUGAGACACGGCCCAAACUCCUACGGGAGGCAGCAGUAGGGAAUCUUCGGCAAUGGACGAAAGUCUGACCGAGCAACGCCGCGUGAGUGAAGAAGGUUUUCGGAUCGUAAAACUCUGUUGGUAGAGAAGAACGUUGGUGAGAGUGGAAAGCUCAUAAAGUGACGGUAACUACCCAGAAAGGGACGGCUAACUACGU
rnacentral:rRNA from 1 species